UACGGAGGGUGCGAGCGUUGUCCGGAAUCACUGGGCGUAAAGGGCGCGUAGGCGGCCUGAUAAGUAGGGGGUGAAAUCCUGCGGCUUAACCGCAGGGCUGCCUUCUAAACUGUCAGGCUAGAGCACAGUAGAGGCAGGUGGAAUUCCCGGUGUAGCGGUGGAAUGCGUAGAGAUCGGGAAGAACAUCAGUGGCGAAGGCGGCCUGCUGGGCUGCUGCUGACGCUGAGGCGCGACAGCGUGGGGAGCAAACAGG
rnacentral:rRNA from 1 species